rnacentral:rRNA from 1 species
UACAGAGGGGGCAAGCGUUAUUCGGAAUUACUGGGCGUAAAGGGCGCGUAGGCGGUUUUUUAAGUCGGAUGUGUAAUCCCCGAGCUCAACUUGGGAACUGCAUCCGAAACUGGGAAGCUAGAGUGCUGGAGAGGGUGGUGGAAUUCCACGUGUAGCGGUGAAAUGCGUAGAGAUGUGGAGGAACACCAGUGGCGAAGGCGGCCACCUGGACAGUAACUGACGCUGAGGCGCGAAAGUGUGGGUAG